rnacentral:rRNA from 1 species
GACGAACGCUGGCGGCGUGCCUAAUACAUGCAAGUAGAACGCUGAAGGAGGAGCUUGCUUCUCUGGAUGAGUUGCGAACGGGUGAGUAACGCGUAGGUAACCUGCCUGGUAGCGGGGGAUAACUAUUGGAAACGAUAGCUAAUACCGCAUAAUAGUAGAUGUCGCAUGACAUUUGCUUAAAAGGUGCAAUUGCAUCACUACCAGAUGGACCUGCGUUGUAUUAGCUAGUUGGUGAGGUAACGGCUCACCAAGGCAACGAUACAUAGCCGACCUGAGAGGGUGAUCGGCCACACUGGGACUGAGACACGGCCCAGACUCCUACGGGAGGCAGCAGUAGGGAAUCUUCGGCAAUGGACGGAAGUCUGACCGAGCAACGCCGCGUGAGUGCAGAAGGUUUUCGGAUCGUAAAGCUCUGUUGUAAGAGAAGAACGAGUGUGAGAGUGGAAAGUUCACACUGUGACGGUAUCUUACCAGAAAGGGACGGCUAACUACGUG